GAUGAACGCUAGCGGCAGGCUUAAUACAUGCAAGUCGAACGGCAGCACGGAUAGCAAUAUCUGGUGGCGAGUGGCGCACGGGUGCGUAACGCGUAUGCAACUUACCCUUAACUGGAGAAUAGCCCCGAGAAAUCGGGAUUAAUACUCCAUAAUAUCAUGAACCAGCAUUUGUUUAUGAUCAAAGUUCCGACGGUUAAGGAUGGGCAUGCGUGACAUUAGCUAGUUGGUAAGGUAACGGCUUACCAAGGCUACGAUGUCUAGGGGUUCUGAGAGCAUUAUCCCCCACACUGGUACGGAGACACGGACCAGACACCUACGGGAGGCAGCAGUAAGGAAUAGUGGGCAAUGGGCGCAAGUCUGACCCAGCCAUGUCGCGUGCAGAAUGACGGCCCUACGGGUUGUAAACUGCUUUUGUACGGGAAAAAACCCUCGCUCGUGAGCGGGGCUGAUGGUACCGUAAGAAUAAGCAUCGGCUAACUCCGUGCCAGCCGCCGCCGUAACAC
rnacentral:rRNA from 1 species